rnacentral:snoRNA from 1 species
UGUGCUGGUGUUGAGAAGGCUCCGGGAACCACAGAUUAUGGUUAAUCCAAUUCUGUGCACCUGAGGUCCAUA